UAAAUGAGUAAUAAUAAUUCUUAUACUGUGAGAGAACGCCUAUUAAUAGAUACCAUCCUGUCUUUUUAUAGCUGCACGCCAAUAAAACAAAAAAAAACGAGGAAGAAUUACCAUAUGAUUGUAUACAAAGGAAGCACAAAGGUAUUCGAAGGACAUCAUUGUGUGAGUAUGGGUGAGAGAGGAGUGCAAAUGGAGGGAUCGACUCAAAGCAAACCACGCAUUCAUUGGUUUGGUGAAUGUGUAGAAGCACUUCUAGGUAGAUGCGGAUAGACAUCUGUGGAGUAGACACAGGAAGAGAGAGAGGAGGAGAAAGGGGAGAGAUACGGGACAGACGGGGAAGUGGAUGAGGGUGUCCCCUCCACUGCGUUUCCAAGUAUUCUCUCUCUGUCGAGUGCGCCGUUUCUGCUGUUCCAUCAUGUGGGGUGAAGGCAAGCAAGCGCGCCAGCAACAGCAGCAAUCGACUGACCAGCAACACAAGCGCAGUGCGAACGUGGAAAAUUCCAGUCCUAUUUCGUCUCUACCCUUUUAUGACAGGGGUGGCAGGAUGAAAGGUGGAAGAGGAGAAGCGUUAUUUUUUUAUUGCGCUCUCUCUCUACAGACGCAUUAACUCACGUCACGGUUGAGUAAUGUUGGUUUAUACUGGGUUAUUACAUUCCAUGCCUGCAUGGACUAGCUAUAUAUUUCAUUAUUAUGCUAAAAGGCAUUCUCUCACGAGAUUAUUUUAGGAUGCGAUAUAUCACAUUCUCUACGUGAAUGUUUUAUAAUGAAAUAAAUAUUGGAUGAACAGUUUAGCGACGAAAAAUAUUCUGUCCUGAUAAACAGGGCAAGGAGGAAAGCUCAAUCGAUUUUAACCAGCUUGCAGUCCGAAUCCCGGGUCUCGAGCAGGUGGCGGAAGAGAAGAGGAGAUCAUGAAUUUAUACGACCGAAAUUGUAAUGUUCUUUUACAAUAACUUUGAACAAACUUUGCAAGAUGCAAUCUCGCGAGACUUAAUGAGGCGUCGUCAGACUUGAAGUUUUUUUCAUCACUCCUCUUCCUCGCUGUCCAAGGCUAUUCGUAACUUGAACAAAACUCAUCAGGAGGGAAUCAAGCUUAGAAAGUCGUGCGCAACUCGUGGUGAAAUUGUGCUUGAGGGGAGACAAUAGAGGGGAUUGGUAAAUCACUGUACGUCACAGUACUUUUUAUCUCUUCGUCUCUCAUUCUCAAUCUUCUUUCUCCCCUCUCACUCCCGCCAUUUCCGUACUCAAGUUACGCUGCUACUACUAUAUCGCGGCAAUCUUGCCUGCUCCAUAAAGAGGAUUACCCUUUCUGCGCAAACUAACGUGGCUAUUGCGCAUACUAGUACGAAGUUUCUGUUAACCGUAGGACGGCUAUGUGGCGGGGUGGGAGAUGGGCGGGAUCGAUAGUCAAGUAUUCUGUGAAAUGAAUACCGGUAAUAUAUAUAUAUAUAUAUAUAAAUAUAUCGGGUGCAUAUUUGACCCCUUAAUCAUAUGUUUAUAGCUUUACAACGCAGACCACAACAAUGGGUCGGUACAAUAAUGGGCUUUGCUGAUUAUACUGUUUUCAUUAGCUUCCUGACCUUAACUUCCUGUAUUAACUUCUUAUAUUAACUUACUGAGGCAGCAAAAUAAUAUGCUAAUUUUUUGUUGCCAUAACUUUCAAAACUCAAUAAGUGACACGACUUUUGUAUGUGCAGAUUGCAGACAACAAACGGAGCGUGGCAACAACCCUCAGCCUGGAUUUUAUUUCUCAAUUCUUCUAUUCACUGUGAAUAAUGAGUCAUCGGAGUUUACUCACCUCAUAGACAGUGCUUUCACUUGAUUAACAAGAAUUAUUUUCGAGCUGGAUAACUAUGAUUAUACAAAUAUCCUCGCUCCAGUAAUUGAUGUGAAAAAUCCAUUUUUUCUUCGAUAUAUUAAUGAAUUCGGGUAAAUCAGUAUUCUACGUUUUUUUUAAAUCUACCAAAUCAAAUAGAGUUUCCUCAGUGAGGGCUAAGUAUACACCCCGACGUGCUAUUUGGAUAUCUCGGACAGAGAUCAAUAGACGGCAGAUUCGGCCGUUUUCGACAUGUUCCGUUAAGUUCCCCUACUAUAUUCGUCAUCGACCUCCAACCAUUACCAGCCACGCCUCGCUCGCGUUAACUUCAUAGAUAAAACCGUUAUUCGAAAUGCGAUUAUAUCAUCUACGCAUUAUAGAUUUUCCUUAAAAACUACGCGUUUAGAAAGCACCACUCGCUCACCCUCCCAGCAUAUACAUACACAAACACCAAAUGUCGUUUAUUUGGAUUCAACCACGCGUACCAGGAAGACGCCGUCGGUGAGUGACGAACCUGGAUGUUUAACCUCUUUUUGCAUGUACGAGGUCAAAGGGUUUUCAAUCAGCAGGACUGUCACAUUGUAUCAUACAAAAUUGUAUUUAUUUUUUCCCUUCUGACUUUAAAUAUUUAUCAUGAACUUUUAUAAUUUGUCUAUUAUUGCGUGACUGUUGUUACAUAAUUUUUUUCAUAAUAUGCAUCACUGAGGAAAAUCUAUACGUGUAUCGAAAUAUUUUUAUAUAAUAUCAUAACUUUGCUAACUCUGAAAAA